rnacentral:rRNA from 1 species
UCCGUAGGCGGGCGUCUAAGUCAGUGGUGAAAUCUUACAGCUCAACUGUAAAAUUGCCAUUGAUACUGUAGACCUUGAAUUAGUGUGAAGUGGUUAGAAUGUGUAGUGUAGCGGUGAAAUGCAUAGAUAUUACACAGAAUACCAAUUGCGAAGGCAGAUCACUAACACUAUAUUGACGCUGAGGGACGAAAGCGUGGGGAGCGAACAGGAUUAGAUACCCUGGUAGUCC